CUAAGAAUAUUCCACAAUGGGCGAAAGCCUGAUGGAGCGACGCCGCGUGUAUGACGAAGGCCGAAAGGUUGUAAAGUACUUUUGCGGAUGAAGAAUAAGCGGCGGAGGGAAUGCCGUCGCGAUGACGUUAGUCCGUGAAUAAGCCCCGGCUAAUUACGUGCCAGCAGCCGCGGUAACACGUAAGGGGCGAGCGUUGUUCGGAAUUAUUGGGCGUAAAGGGCGCGUAGGCGGUUUUGCAAGUCUGAUGUGAAAUACCCAAGCUCAACUUGGGAACUGCAUUGGAAACUGUGAAACUGGAAUCACGGAGGGGGAGUUGGAAUUCCUGGUGUAGGGGUGAAAUCUGUAGAUAUCAGGAAGAACACCGGUGGCGAAGGCGAACUUCCAGCCGAUGAUUGACGCUGAGGCGCGAAAGUGCGGGGAGCAAACAGGAUUAGAUACCCUGGUAGUCCGCACUAUAAACGAUGUGCACUAGGUGUUGGGCCGAGCGGCUCAGUGCCGGAGCGAACGUGAUAAGUGCACCGCCU
rnacentral:rRNA from 1 species